rnacentral:rRNA from 1 species
UACAGAGGGGGCAAGCGUUAUUCGGAAUUAUUGGGCGUAAAGAGCUUGUAGGCGGUCUGUCGCGUCUGCUGUGAAAAUCCGGGGCUCAACCCCGGACUUGCAGUGGGUACGGGCAGACUAGAGUGUGGUAGGGGAGACUGGAAUUCCUGGUGUAGCGGUGAAAUGCGCAGAUAUCAGGAGGAACACCGAUGGCGAAGGCAGGUCUCUGGGCCACUACUGACGCUGAGAAGCGAAAGCAUGGGGAGCGAACAGG